UACGUAGGCAGCGAGCGUUGUUCGGAGUUACUGGGCGUAAAGGGCGCGUAGGCGGCCUUCUAAGUCGAACGUGAAAUCCCUGGGCUCAACCCAGGAACUGCGUCCGAUACUGGAAGGCUUGAAUCCGGGAGAGGGAUGCGGAAUUCCAGGUGUAGCGGUGAAAUGCGUAGAUAUCUGGAGGAACACCGGUGGCGAAGGCGGCAUCCUGGACCGGUGUUGACGCUGAGGCGCGAAAGCCAGGGGAGCAAACGGG
rnacentral:rRNA from 1 species